rnacentral:rRNA from 1 species
GACGAACGCUGGCGGCGUGCUUAACACAUGCAAGUCGAGCGGUAAGGCCCUUCGGGUACACGAGCGGCGAACGGGUGAGUAACACGUGGGUGACCUGCCCUUAGCUCUGGGAUAAGCCUGGGAAACUGGGUCUAAUACCGGAUAUGACCUCAUGACGCAUGUUGUGGGGUGGAAAGCCCUGUGCGGCUAGGGAUGGGCCCGCGGCCUAUCAGCUUGUUGGUGGGGUGAUGGCCACCAAGGCGACGACGGGUAGCCGGCCUGAGAGGGCGACCGGCCACACUGGGACUGAGACACGGCCCAGACUCCUACGGGAGGCAGCAGUGGGGAAUCUUGCGCAAUGGGCGAAAGCCUGACGCAGCGACGCCGCGUGAGGGAUGACGGCCU